UACGGGAGGCAGCAGUGGGGAAUAUUGCACAAUGGGCGCAAGCCUGAUGCAGCCAUGCCGCGUGUAUGAAGAAGGCCCUUCGGGUUGUAAAGUACUUUCAGUCGUGAGGAAGGUGUUAAGGUUAAUAACCUUAGCAAUUGACGUUAGCGACAGAAGAAGCACCGGCUAACUCCGUGCCAGCAGCCGCGGUAAUACGGAGGGUGCGAGCGUUAAUCGGAAUUACUGGGCGUAAAGGGCACGCAGGCGGUUAAUUAAGUUGGAUGUGAAAUCCCCGGGCUUAACCUGGGAAUGGCAUUCAAGACUGGUUAGCUAGAGUCUUGUAGAGGGGGUAGAAUUCCAUGUGUAGCGGUGAAAUGCGUAGAGAUGUGGAGGAAUCCGGUGGCGAAGGCGGCCCCUGGACAAAGGACUGACGCUCAUGUGCGAAAGCGUGGGGAGCAAACAGGGAUUAGAUACC
rnacentral:rRNA from 1 species